rnacentral:rRNA from 1 species
CCCUUAGAUGUUCUGGGCCGCACGCGCGCUACACUGAUGCAUUCAACAAGCCUAGCCUUGACCGAGAGGUCCGGGUAAUCUUUGAAACUGCAUCGUGAUGGGGCUAGAUUGUUGCAAUUAUUAAUCUUCAACGAGGAAUGCCUAGUAAGCGUGAUUCAUCAAAUCGCGUUGAUUACGUCCCUGCCCUUUGUACACACCGCCCGUCGCUCCUACCGAUUGAAUGUGUUGGUGAGGAGCUCGGAUUGGCAGCAGUUGGUGGUUCGCCACCGGCUAUUGCUGAGAAGUCCUCCAAACCGCCCCAUUUAGAGGAAGGAGAAGUCGUAACA